rnacentral:tRNA from 1 species
AGCCGGAAUAGCUCAGUUGGUAGAGCAGAGGACUGAAAAUCCUCGUGUCAC